GACGAACGCUGGCGGCGUGCUUAACACAUGCAAGUCGAACGAUGAAGAAGAGCUUGCUCUUCGGAUUAGUGGCGAACGGGUGAGUAACACGUGACUAACCUGCCCCUUUCUCUGGGAUAACGCUCCGAAAGGAGUGCUAAUACCGGAUACUCACAUCGAGGCACAUGCCUUGAUGUGGAAAGUUUUUCGGAAAGGGAUGGAGUCGCGGCCUAUCAGCUUGUUGGUGAGGUAACGGCUCACCAGGGGGACGACGGGUAGCCGGCCUGAGAGGGCGACCGGCCACACUGGGACUGAGACACGGCCCAGACUCCUACGGGAGGCAGCAGUGGGGAGUAUUGCACAAUGGGCGAAAGCCUGAUGCAGCGACGCCGCGUGAGGGGUGAAGGUCUUCGGAUUGUAAACCUCUUUCAGUAGGGACGAAGCGAAAGUGACGGUACCUAAGAAGAAGCACCGGCUAACUACGUGCCAGCCGCCGCCGUAA
rnacentral:rRNA from 1 species